rnacentral:pre_miRNA from 1 species
AAUGGAAGAAUGCUGUGGUGGAGCAGAGUCUUGACAUGUUCCAACGUGUUGUCGGUGCCGCUGGGGCAUGUCAAGACUCGGCUGCAUCACGGCGAUGGCCUCG